GAAACAAUUAAACGGCCGCGGUACCCUAACCGUGCAAAGGUAGCGUAAUCACCUGUCUAUUAAUUGUAGACCCGUAUGAAAGGCAAAAUGAGAGUCUGCCUGUCUCUUAUAAUAAAUCAAUUAAACUGAUCUCCUAGUAAAAAAGCUAGAAUACCAACAUAAGACCAGAAGACCCUGUGAAGCUUAAACUAAACUAUUAAACCCUAUAAUACCUACUUUCGGUUGGGGCGACCUUGGAAAAAAAAAGAACUUCCAAACAUAUGACCAUAACUCAUUCAUCAGGCCAACAAGCCUAACACGACCCAGUACAACUGACAACUGAAACAAGUUACUCCAGGGAUAACAGCGCUAUCUUCUUCAAGAGUCCAUAUCAAAAAGAAGGUUUACGACCUCGAUGUUGGAUCAGGACAUCCUAAUGGUGCAGCCGCUAUUAAGGGUUCGUUUGUUCAACGAUUAACAGUCCUACG
rnacentral:rRNA from 1 species